rnacentral:rRNA from 1 species
GGGGGGGGGGGGGGGGGGGGGUGGCGGGGGCGGGGGGGGCGGGGCCGGCGGGGCUGGUGGCGCACGGGGGCGUAACGCGUGGGAACCUGCCCUUAGGUUCGGAAUAACUCCCCGGAAGGGGUGCUAAACCCGCAUAAUGCCGUCCGACCAAGGACUGAGCGCCUUGGGAUGGGCCCGCGUUGGCUGAGCUAGUCGGUAGGGUAACAGCCUACCAAUGCGACGAUCCAUAGCUGGUCUGAGAGGAUGAUCAGCCACACUGGGACUGAGACACGGCCCAGACUCCUACGGGAGGCAGCAGUGGGGAAUGUUGGACCAUGGGCGAAAGCCUGAUCCAGCAAUGCCGCGUGAGUGAUGAAGGCGUUAGGGUUGUAAAGCUCUUUUACCCGGGAUGAUAAUGACAGUACCGGGAGAAUAAGCUAGGGCUAAAUACGUG